UACGGAGGGUGCAAGCGUUAAUCGGAAUUACUGGGCGUAAAGCGCACGUAGGCGGCUUUGUAAGUUAGAGGUGAAAGCCCGGGGCUCAACUCCGGAACUGCCUUUAAGACUGCAUCGCUUGAAUCCAGGAGAGGUGAGUGGAAUUCCGAGUGUAGAGGUGAAAUUCGUAGAUAUUAGGAAGAACACCAGUGGCGAAGGCGGCUCACUGGUCCGGUACUGACGCUGAGGUGCGAAAGCGUGGGGAGCAAACAGG
rnacentral:rRNA from 1 species